rnacentral:rRNA from 1 species
GCUAAAAAUCUAGCCCCAACCAUCCACAUGAAAAUACUCACUUACUUCUUUAUACUAAACCAUUUGCAAGUACAAGUAAAGGGGAUUAAAACUACAAUUGGAGCUAUAUAACUAGUACCGCAAGGGAAAGAUGAAAUAUUAAUGAAAUAAACCUAAAGCUAAACAAAAUAGAGAUUAAUUCUCGUACCUUUUGCAUCAUGGUUUAACAAGUCAAAUCAAGCAAAAAGUUUUUCAGUUUGACUUCCCGAAACUAAGCGAGCUACUUAAAAGCAGCUUAUUGAGCUAACCCAUCUCUGUAGCAAAAGAGUGGGAUGACUUUUUAGUAGCGGUGAUAGACCUACCGAGCCUAGUGAUAGCUGGUUGCUUAAGAAAAGGAUUUAAGUUCAGCCUAAAUUUAAUUGAAUAAAUUUUUAUAAAAUUUUAAAUUUAGAGUAAUUCAAACAAGGUACAGCCUGUUUGAAUAAGGGUACAACCUUUACUAAUGGGUACUUUAUUCUUCUAUUACAAUAAAGUAGGCUUAAGAGCAGCCACCUUUAAUAAUAGCGUCAAAGCUUAAUUGUAUAAUAGACUAAUACUUAAUUUUUUAUAUAACCCUUUAUUAAUAUUAAGCAAUUCUAUAAUAAUAUAGAAAAUUUUAUGUUAGUACUAGUAACAAGAACUAGAUAUUCUCUAAAAUUUUAGUGUACAUCAGAAAGGACUAACCACUGAUAAUUAACAUCAAUAGAAUAAAAGUAGUAACUCCCCAAGAAAACUCUACUUCUCUCCAUGUUAAUCUAACACAAGAAAAUUUCAAGAAAGAUUAAAAGAAAAAGAAGGAACUCGGCAAAUAUUAACCCCGCCUGUUUACCAAAAACAUCGCCUCUUGAACUUAUAUAAGAGGUCCAGCCUGCCCAGUGACUUUUGUUUAACGGCCGCGGUAUCCUAACCGUGCGAAGGUAGCGUAAUCACUUGUUCUUUAAAUAAGGACUAGUAUGAAUGGCAUCACGAGGGUUAUACUGUCUCCUUUUUCUAAUCAGUGAAACUAAUCUCCCCGUGAAGAAGCGGGGGUAAUAAUAUAAGACGAGAAGACCCUAUGGAGCUUUAAACUAAACAACACUUGCUUUACCAAUUUUAAAUUUCAGAAAAAGAACUCAUUUAGCAAGAUGAUUGUAAGUUUUAGGUUGGGGUGACCAUGGAGUAAAAAUUAACCUCCAUGCUGAAACAACACUUAAUGUUUUAUUCACGAGCUACCGCUCUAAGCAUCAAAAUAUUGACAUCCAUUGACCCAAUUAUUUGAUCAACGAACCAAGUUACCCUAGGGAUAACAGCGCAAUCCUCUUCAAGAGCUCCUAUCGACAAGUGGGUUUACGACCUCGAUGUUGGAUCAGGGUAUCCUAGUGGUGCAGCCGCUACUAAAGGUUCGUUUGUUCAACGAUUAAAACCCU